UCUCUCUCUCUCUCUCUCUCUCGGCUCUCUGUGUUUCAAUUUUAAUGUUUCUAUGUUAUUUUCUUUAUCUUCCCAUGUCUUCUUCUCCUUCUCUAAUCAUAACACAAUCUGGUAGGCGCUAAUGAAUCAUUCUACAUUGAGACCAAGUCUAGAUCACAACCACACACUUUUAGUUUUUAGAAAUGUAAGUGACCCAUGACCGUCUUUCCAACUAGCUCACAUUUUAAUCUCUGUUAUAUUCUUGAUUCGUAACCAGGUAACGAUCUGAAUUAACUCUUGGUUUUAGUUGAGAUCGUUGUAUGAGUUUGGUUUUGAAAGCUCAAGGGGUGCGAUUGUAAAAUUUCAAGGGGGCGCUAAGAAUUUUCACUACAAUUAAGUUUUGUCAAUGGUUCCGGUACCCAAGCUUGCAUUGAGGUUAUAUUUGGAAUGUGCUGAGGGUUCCAUGGUGAUUCCGGCAAGAAGGAUCUUCCGAUAUGAUUUUUGAAUCAGCAGUUACGAGUCGAUUCUCCAAUAUAGAUCCGAUGGUUUCUCACAUGUUUACGGCUGUAUAGGGGCUGCAGAGACCACUAGCGGCGUGAUUUGUGAACGUUUCGCGUGAAAGCAAGAUUUCUUUCAUCUAGGUUGUUGUCUGUUCGUUCUUUUCGAGCCACAAAUGUUUAGAGGUCAUGUAAGACUUGAUACUAUGACUCGUAUAAGUUGUCAACCAUUGUGUUACCAGGUAACAUCUACAUACAGAAACGAGGAAGGAUGAUACGUAUUAUCAUAUAAAAGACGUUGUUGGGGACAAGAUGGCGUGGGACCCAUUCAGCCACCAAAUCUUGAUGUUCAAAAUGAUUAAAUGUGGCUCAAGAAGACAAGCCAGCUAGCAACACAGAACCUAAUCUAAAGUUGGACAAGCGGCAAAGGCUAUUGCGGAUGCUUCAGUUAGUGAGCAUAUUAGGACUUCGUUUAAGGAAGCGGGUGUCGUCAAGAAUCUUUUUCGGCUUCUGGAUUAUGACAGCGAACCCAUUCGAUUAGGCGUUGUUCGCGCUUUAGAAAGGCUUUCAGUUAGCAAUGAUGUUUGCCAGAAAAUUCAAGCUGAGGGUGUUUUGAAGCCGUUAAUAAGAUCACUGAAAAAUUCGGAUGCUUCAGAAAGUUCAACUCAUAUGAUCCUGAAUAUUCUUGGUCGGAUAUUAGAUCCCAGUAAAGAAAUGAAAUCAAAGGCCCUCACUUUGUAAGCGUCUUCGCCUAGGCGAUAAUCAUCUGAUAUGCAACUGCUAAAGGACCUGCUAAAGGAAAGACUUAAGGGCUGUUUUGCCUAAGAUGAAGAUGACGACCACGAGAACUAAAUGUGUGCAAGGCUGCUUAGCCUAAGAUGAAGUACCUAAUAGCAUAUAAGGUAUAUAUUACAUAGAGUGUCAGUGUCAAAAGUGAUUGAAGAAGUCAAAGCCGCCGCAAUCCGUUGGGUAAAAAAAAAUAGAUCGAAAUAAGUUGUAAUAGUUUUUUGGCUUUGUCUUGGUGCUUUAUUUUGGGUUUGUAUUGUACUAUGGCUAAUGGAUUGCCUCCAUGUACUGUAAUAUGUUUCUUUAUUGAGAAAUCUAUACAAUUGGUGCU